GUAGUCAUAUGCUUGUCUCAAAGAUUAAGCCAUGCAUGUCUAAGUAUAAGCAAUUAUACAGCGAAACUGCGAAUGGCUCAUUAAAUCAGUUAUCGUUUAUUUGAUAGUACCUUACUACUUGGAUAACCGUGGUAAUUCUAGAGCUAAUACAUGCUAAAAACCCCGACUCACGAAGGGGUGUAUUUAUUAGAUUAAAAGCCAAUGCCCUCCGGGGCUCACUGGUGAUUCAUAAUAACUUGUCGAACCGCAUGGCCUUGCGCCGGCGAUGGUUCAUUCAAAUUUCUGCCCUAUCAACUUUCGACGGCUGGGUCUUGGCCAGCCAUGGUGACAACGGGUAACGGAGGGUUAGGGCUCGACCCCGGAGAACGAGCCUGAGAAACGGCUAUUACAUCCAAGGAAGGCAGCAGGCGCGCAAAUUACCCAAUACCGACUCGGUGAGGUAGUGACGAUAAAUACUGAUACAGGGCUCUUCUGGGUCUUGUAAUUGGAAUGAGUACAAUUUAAAUCCCUUAACGAGGAACAAUUGGAGGGCAAGUCUGGUGCCAGGC
rnacentral:rRNA from 1 species